UGUAAACAUCCUACACUCUCAGCUGUGAAUAUAAGGAGGCUGGGAGAAGGGUGUUUACU
rnacentral:pre_miRNA from 1 species